CCUACGGGAGGCAGCAGUGAGGAAUAUUGGUCAAUGGCCGUAAGCCUGAACCAGCCAAGCCGCGUGAGGGAUGAAGGUGCUAUGGAUCGUAAACCUCUUUUAUCAGGGAAUAAAGUGCGGGACGUGUCCCGUUCUGUAUGUACCUUAUGAAUAAUGAUCGGCUAACUCCGUGCCUGCAGCCGCGGUAAUACGGAGGAUCCGAGCGUUAUCCGGAUUUAUUGGGUUUAAAGGGUGCGUAGGCGGCCUUUUAAGUCAGCGGUGAAAGGCUGGGGCUCAACCAUAGGAUUGCCGUUGAAACUGGUAGUCUUGAGAAUGUUUGAGGCAGGCGGAAUGCGUGGUGUAGCGGUGAAAUGCUUAGAUAUCACGCAGAACCCCGAUUGCGAAGGCAGCCUGCCAAGCCAUGACUGACGCUGAUGCACGAAAGCGUGGGUAUCAAACAGGAUUAGAUACCCUUGUAGUC
rnacentral:rRNA from 1 species